UAUUCCCCCAAUUUUUGAUGAGUUCCAACAAACACUUCGCUUUUUAUAACCAAGUUCUAUUAAUUUCUUUUUAUUCAUUUUAUAAAACUCGACUACUACUAUACGGGUUUUGCUUGUGGCACAUCCCUAGUAUUAACCUUGAACCCUUAUCAUUAUAAUUUACAAUUAUUUAUGCAGGGCCAGUGCUGGGAUUUUCUUUGAGGGAGUGUUGAAUUUUAUUUUAUUUCAAAUUUUACGACUAAUGUACGACUAAUUUUUUCAGACUCUAAAAUGAAAUGAUUGUCCUUUGGAAAAUUAUAUAGGGGACCAGAGAUGCCCCUCUAUGGGAAUUAUCCUAAGAUUUUGGGAUGUUCACGUUAAGUUAGAGAUUAUUUGUAUCAAAAUGUCGAAAUCUUGGGAUUUUAUACAUGCAACAAUAAUGGAUUACUUUUUCAAUUCCUACAGAACUCGUUCUCGAUUCGUCUAAUUUUAUCUGCAGCAAAACAAUUCAUUAAAAAGAUGGGUUGAACAUGUUCGAACUGUCAACUGGCCUUAAUAACGGAAAUUGAAGAAGGAAAUGUUCAUCACUGAUUCAAAGACACCCUUAAAAUGUAAAAAGAAAAUGAUUUUAAACACUUAUCAGCAGAUAUUAUCGAAGAAAAGACACGGAGAAAAAAUAUUUAGGAUCCAUAUAAAACUAACAAAUUGGGAACUUUACGGAUACUCUGGGCAGGAUGUCAAAAGAAGACAUGUCCGGUCGUAUGAAAAUGGCUGUCUACCCUAGUACAUGUGAUAAGGAUAAUAAAAUAACUGAAUAUUCCUUUAAUAGUAUUGGAUAUAUUAUUAACUAUUUAAUAUAUAAUUAGUAUUCUGUUGCAAAUUAUAAAGUGCCUAUCUAGUUAAGUUAUUCUUAAAUACAUGUAACAAAUGCUUAA
rnacentral:lncRNA from 1 species